GUAGCAAAAAUGGUUUGCACUCAAUUACUAAUUGAAAAGUUGGUGGUUCAAACCCACCC
rnacentral:tRNA from 1 species